rnacentral:rRNA from 1 species
GGGGAAUAUUGCACAAUGGGCGCAAGCCUGAUGCAGCGACGCCGCGUGCGGGAUGGAGGCCUUCGGGUUGUAAACCGCUUUUGUUCAAGGGCAAGGCGCGGUUUCGGCCGUGUUGAGUGGAUUGUUCGAAUAAGCACCGGCUAACUACGUGCCAGCAGCCGCGGUAAUACGUAGGGUGCGAGCGUUAUCCGGAUUUAUUGGGCGUAAAGGGCUCGUAGGCGGUUCGUCGCGUCCGGUGUGAAAGUCCAUCGCCUAACGGUGGAUCUGCGCCGGGUACGGGCGGGCUGGAGUGCGGUAGGGGAGACUGGAAUUCCCGGUGUAACGGUGGAAUGUGUAGAUAUCGGGAAGAACACCAAUGGCGAAGGCAGGUCUCUGGGCCGUCACUGACGCUGAGGAGCGAAAGCGUGGGGAGCGAAC